GGUGCGCAGGCAACGGCUACUUCCGCUCAGAACGGGGAGACGCGGGUUCGAAUCCCGCCGCCG
rnacentral:tRNA from 1 species